AACGAACGCUGGCGGCAUGCCUAACACAUGCAAGUCGAACGAGACCUUCGGGUCUAGUGGCGCACGGGUGCGUAACGCGUUGGAACCUGCCCUUAGGUUCGGAAGAACUCCCCGAAAGGGGUGCGAAUACCGGAUAAUGUCUCCCGACCAAAGAUUUAUCGCCUUUGGAUGGGCCCGCGUUGUAUUCGCUAGUGGGUAGGGUAAAAGCCUACCAAGGCGAGGAUCCAUAGCUGGUUUGAGAGGAUGAUCAGCCACACUGGGACUGAGACACGGCCCAGACUCCUACGCGAGGCAGCAGUGGGUAAUCUUGGCCAAUGGGCGAAAUCCUGAUCCAGUACUGCCGGGUGAGUGAUGAAGGCCUUAGGGUUGUAAAGCUCUUUUACCCGGGAUGAUAAUGACAGUACCGGCAGAAUAAGCUCCGGCUAACUCCGUG
rnacentral:rRNA from 1 species